rnacentral:rRNA from 1 species
GACGAACGCUGGCGGCGUGCUUAACACAUGCAAGUCGAACGGAAAGGCCCUGCUUUUGUGGUGUGCUCGAGUGGCGAACGGGUGAGUAACACGUGAGUAACCUUCCCUUUACUUUUGGAUAACUUCAGGAAACUGGGGCUAAUACCGGAUAGGAGCACCUGCUGCAUGGUGGGGGUUGGAAAGUUUCGGCGGUAGGGGAUGGACGCGCGGCUUAUCAGCUUGUUGGUGGGGUAGUGGCUUACCAAGGCUGUGACGGGUAGCCGGCCUGAGAGGGUGACCGGCCACAAUGGGACUGAGAUACGGCCCAGACUGCAACGGGAGGCAGCAGUGGGGAAUAUUGCACAAUGGGCGCAAGCCUGAUGCAGCAACGCCGCGUGCGGGAUGACGGCCUUCGAGUUGUAAACCGCUUUCGACUGUGACGAAGCGUGAGUGACGGUAAUGGGUAAAGAAGCACCGGCUAACUACGUG